rnacentral:tRNA from 1 species
ACCGGGAUAGCUCAGUUGGUAGAGCAGAG